GACGAACGCUGGCGGCGUGCUUAACACAUGCAAGUCGAACGGAAAGACCCUGCUUUUGUGGGGUGCUCGAGUGGCGAACGGGUGAGUAACACGUGAGUAACCUGCCCUUGACUUUGGGAUAACUUCAGGAAACUGGGGCUAAUACCGGAUAGGAGCUCCUGCUGCAUGGUGGGGGUUGGAAAGUUUCGGCGGUUGGGGAUGGACUCGCGGCUUAUCAGCUUGUUGGUGGGGUAGUGGCUUACCAAGGCUUUGACGAGUAGCCGGCCUGAGAGGGUGACCGGCCACAUUGGGACUGAGAUACGGCCCAGACUCCUACGGGAGGCAGCAGUGGGGAAUAUUGCACAAUGGGCGGAAGCCUGAUGCAGCAACGCCGCGUGCGGGAUGACGGCCUUCGGGUUGUAAACCGCUUUCGCCUGUGACGAAGCGUGAGUGACGGUAAUGGGUAAAGAAGCACCGGCUAACUACGUG
rnacentral:rRNA from 1 species